GCUUCCCAGUAGGGCCUCAUGUUAGUCUAUUAGGUCUGUUCUCUCCCCUCCUGCUCUGACUAUGUGGGGGAAGCCUACCUGCUUUCACCAGGGCUCUGUCUUGAAGUUGCCACAAAGCCACCUUGAGAUCUGUCUUAGUAACAUCAGCAAGAGGCCCAGAUAUGCUGAAGCUUCCGUGGCUGUGCAGGAUCCACUUGGCAUAACUUCUACCCUUGACUGUAGGACCAUCUGUGACUCAAAUCAACAUGAAUGGGAACCACCAGCCAGCUGAGCGAUGGACUUCAGGGGGAGCUGACACAGAGGGCAGACAAGCCCGGGAAGCCCCUGUCUACCUCCUUCUGAGAUGUCCCAGCCUCUGCCGAGCAUCUGCUGCCAUUGAUGGGGCAACAGGUGGAUUGACAUGUAGUUAUCAGACUGCUGAUGAGUCCAGAGUCCAUCCACACCUUCAGGGACUUAGAUCUUGGAACCAGUUAUAAACUUUGACCCAGUCUGACCAGAGCAACCUGACCGUAUCAGCACCAGGGAAAAGGAC